rnacentral:lncRNA from 1 species
AACCCGUGCGACGCACGGGUCAUAUUCCCCGUAAAAUUUGGGAUGUAGUAUAUCAUAGAAAAAAGUUGAUGUUAAAAAGAUAGUAUAUAUAAAAUUUCGUAUCCCCGUGAGCUUAGCUCAGUUGGUAGGGAUAUUGCAUAUUAUAUGCAGGAGCCGGGGUUCGAACCCCGGACACUCCACUUCUCCACAAUUAAAUUGUGUGAG